rnacentral:lncRNA from 1 species
GGCGAAGGCUAGCAUGGGAAAGGGACCUAGGUCUCCCACCGUGGGAAAGUUCCCUGAACCGUUGGAUGAAGAAUGAUAUCAUGCACCAUCUGUACUUUAUAUUUUUUUUCUGUCUCUCUCUCUCUCUUCCCAUCAUCUCUCGUGUCUCUGCCUUUCUUGUUCUUCUUGUGUAUGCUUUCCUUUCUUCUACCUCAAAAUCACACCAUCUUUAUUUUCUUUAAAUCAAUAAAAUAAUACACAAACCUCCCAAUUUAAACUNNNNNNNNNNNNNNNNNNNNNNNNNNNNNNNAGGGAAUAUAGAAAAAUCCAAUCAAGCAAUUGAAGAACAAAAUCAAUUUAAGGCCUAUUGAAUCCAACACAAAAUCAACAUAAGAACCAAACAGUUUUCCUUGUUUAUGAGUUUUUAGUGUGUUGCUUUAAAGACUUAUGUUUUGUGUUUGGCUUGUUCUUUUGAUUUUUUGGUGUUGGCCUUCCUGUUAGCUUUAAAACUAGCUACAGUUCCUGUAUUUAUUUCCUGUAUUUGUCAUAAGAAAUAGCAAAUUAUAGAAGUAGUAGUUGUGUGGAAUUUGUGUUUAAUUAAACUAUGAACAAAAAGAAAUUGAAUGGAAAGAUGAAGAGAUGAAAGAAAAUAGAGCCAGAGAGCCUGCAGAUGAUGGAAAGAGAGAGAGAGAGAGAGAGAGAGAAAAAAUGAUAGGAUAAGGAUGGUGCAUGAUAUCAUUCUUCAUCCAA